AAUUGGAAGAAAUCAAGGGAACAUAGAACUCACUUUGGCCGGAGAUUUCGCUGGAGUCAAUUAAUGGCUUUUAUAUCCUUGCUUCUGGUUCGUUUGUUACUUCUUCUUCUUCUUUCGAUCCUUCUUCUUCUUCUUAUUCCGGAUUGAGAGUGAGGGAUCUUGAGGAGGUUUUAGAACAAACAAGUUUGAAGCUCUAAUGGUGAGCUUCAACUGCUUCUAGAGAGUGCAUGUGGUGAGGGUGAGAGAAGGAUUUGAGUUGCUUUCAGUAGUUCUCAGAAUGAUAAUUGCCAAGGUCUUGAAAUGAUGGAGGUGAUGGUGAUUUAUAGAAGUUAGCUUUGGAUUAGUGUAGGUUUGGAGUUACUUAUUAGGAGGUUAGGAACUAGCUUAGGAAACAGUUAGAAUGAACUCAGUGAGUUUGUAGUUAACUCACUGAGGUUGGAAGUUAGUUAAUGAGCUAGGGCCUGUUAAUUGGUUGGUUGAGUAAUUAGUUGACUGGCUGUAGCAGGUUGUUCCUUAAGUGGGAUUGGCCUUGCAAAUUGAUUCCCGACCUGUUGAACAUGUUUCUUUCUACUGCCAAUUGUUAGUGACUUGUGAGUAAUGCUAUGUUAUGUUUUGCCAAUGCCUCACAAGCUCAAGUUCAAGCAUGUGUAUUUUGAUUUCCCUUUUCCCUUCAUAUAACCCCACUUGUUUUGCUGCAGAGUUUUCUCAUGUUGUCCAUUGCAGGUUUUGGGAAUGAGUGGAGAAAAGCAUAACAGGAAUUUCAUUGAGUCAAAGCAAUCAACCUUCCAAUGGUGCAAUCUGGUCAUGGUUUGGCUUGUGAGGUACAAGGAUCUUGAAAGUUUGGCCUGAACUUAUAGUAGGUUUGAAUUUGCUUUGAAUUGGUGCUUGCUUGCUCUCAUCAUCUUGUGGCAAUUCCUGCUCAAAUUUGGUUUGGUUAUAGAUGACAGUUGAAUUACUUUAUGCAGGCUUGGAACAGGGGACAUGAACUGAGGAGGGUUAUUUUCUUUUAGCCAUUGAUGGUGAGUUGUUCUACUGGUUUGUGAGCAGUCAUAAAUAUAGAUGAAUUCUUGGAAUAUUUGUACAGUCUGCUUGUUUUGAUGUACUCCCAUUGAGAUGCUCGUUGAAGGUGAAACAUCAUGGUGUGAUGGGGCUUUUUGUUAGGUUGGUGAUGUUGUUGUCAUGUAUUUCUAGGAAUGUUGGCAUUGUGUUAGUUAGUAUGUGAAUAUUUUCCAUUAGACUGUGUUGAAACAUGUCAUAAUGUUACAAGGUUGUUAUUGUUUGCUUGACAUUUAUGUUUUCCAUUGUAUGAACCCCACUUGAUUGUUGUGGAUUACUGAACAUGGUGUUGGUAUUGACAUGGUUUUGACAUUGCUUGGCACACUGUAGGGAUA
rnacentral:lncRNA from 1 species